AAUAAUGAAUUUCUCUUUUUCAGACAGUUAUAUGAGUGUACUCCACAUAACACGAAUCAUGCCGCAGCUUGCCAAUAGGAAUAUGAACAACAGGAGCUGGUGAAUUUCUGACAAGAAGUUCCUGAAAAAGUAUGAAAUAAUUCUUUUUUUAUUUUAUUUUAUUUUUUUUACAUGUUUAUUGAAUGUUUAUACUUGAUUUUGUCUGUUUUAUGUAGAGCCCAUGCAACUGUCCAACUGUGGACCAUAGGUAUAGUUUAAUUCCGAGCUCUUUGAGGCUGUGUGGUUAUUGCAUCAGCUCAUCAGUAACAUGAUUUUUUAUUUGCUGGGUACUGGAUGCUGGGAAUACAUAUGAAACACAUUCCUGUGUGUAAGUGGGAUUUGCAUGGACAACUGCAAAUUGAUGAUGCUCAACUGAUAUACACCUCCCUCACGAAAGCUGCAGCUUCUAUGGCUCUUCAUUUCAUUGCACAGGGUACAAGAGGUCCUCCCCUACCUUUCUGUUUUCAGCCUAAUGCUACUCCUGGUAAAAGUGGCAGUUAAGUCUGCAGGCCUCAAAACUCUUGCCCUUCAGAAACAGCCUGACUAUGCACGUCUCUCAUUUCUGUUGGCAAAAGUGAAAACUGAAGCUGCCUGUAUCUUUCCUUCAGAAGAUUCUCCUCAAAGACUCAUGCUGUGGAUACAUAGAGACAAAUGGGGCCUCAGGAUUUAUUGGUUGCCUGCUUAAACAUGGGUCAGCUAUCAUGAGAAAGAGCAGAGGGGAAAGUAGAAUCACAGACAGCACAGAAAACUGCUGAUGGAAUGGGAAGUACAAAAAGUAGAAUAUGAUGUGACUGUGCACAGAGAAAAUGGAAGUGGAAAAUGGUAAGCGGUUUUUCAAUGACCCU
rnacentral:lncRNA from 1 species